UACGUAGGGUGCAAGCGUUGUCCGGAAUUAUUGGCGUAAAGAGCUCGUAGGCGGUUCGUCGCGUCGGCUGUGAAACCUGAGGCUCAACCUCAGGCCUGCAGUCGAUACGGGCGGACUUGAGUACUGCAGGGAGACUGGAAUUCUGGUGUAGCGGUGAAAUUCGUAGAUAUUCGGAAGAACACCAGUGGCGAAGGCGGCUCACUGGCCCGGUACGUGACGCUGAUGUGCGAAAGCGUGGGAGCAACAGG
rnacentral:rRNA from 1 species